AGGUGAUGUAGCUCAGAUGGUAGAACACUCGCUUGUCAUGCGAGAGGUGCAGGGAUCGAUGCCCCGCAUCUCCAC